UACGUAGGUGACAAGCGUUGUCCGGAUUUACUGGGCGUAAAGAGCGCGCAGGCGGUCGUUCAAGUCGAGUGUGAAAGCCCCGGCUCAACUGGGAGGGUCACUCGAUACUGAUCGACUCGAAGGCAGGAGAGGGUAGUGGAAUUCCCGGUGUAGUGGUGAAAUGCGUAGAUAUCGGAGGGACACCAGUGGCGAAGGCGACUACCUGGCCUGUUCUUGACGCUGAGGCGCGAAAGCUAGGGAGCAAACGGG
rnacentral:rRNA from 1 species